rnacentral:rRNA from 1 species
GACGAACGCUGGCGGCGUGCUUAACACAUGCAAGUCGAACGGAAAGGCCCUGCUUUUGUGGGGUGCUCGAGUGGCGAACGGGUGAGUAACACGUGAGUAACCUGCCCUUGACUUUGGGAUAACUUCAGGAAACUGGGGCUAAUACCGGAUAGGAGCUCCUGCUGCAUGGUGGGGGUUGGAAAGUUUCGGCGGUUGGGGAUGGACUCGCGGCUUAUCAGCUUGUUGGUGGGGUAGUGGCUUACCAAGGCUUUGACGGGUAGCCGGCCUGAGAGGGUGACCGGCCACAUUGGGACUGAGAUACGGCCCAGACUCCUACGGGAGGCAGCAGUGGGGAAUAUUGCACAAUGGGCGGAAGCCUGAUGCAGCAACGCCGCGUGCGGGAUGACGGCCUUCGGGUUGUAAACCACUUUCGCCUGUGACGAAGCGUGAGCGACGGUAAUGGGUAAAGAAGCACCGGCUAACUACGUG